ensembl:lncRNA
CAGGAACCACUAGGGGGCGCCCCUGCUGGGGAGGGUCUGGUCUGAUCGCCUUAACCUGGUCUCUGUUCAGCUUUGACUGCGCUUCAGAAUCCACCCAGACUCACCGAAGGACGCAGUUAUUCCUGAAUGAGGUUCACCAUAAAUCCCUGUUUUCCUUGGAUCACCUGUUAACCUCUUGAGAGUGUUCAGUAUUCUUGGAGAAUGUCAUCUGAAGGUCUGAAGGCUUCCAUAAGACCCUUCCUCUCUACCUCCAGGCACCAUCACACUUGCUCUUUCCUCCACCCCAAGACGCCUAUUCUUCCCCAGAGCCCGAUCCUCAUCAGGCAGGCAAAAGGACACAGCUUCUCAGUGUCUGCCUGUCAGACUUCUUGGCCUCGGGCUGAAAAUUUUAUGUAGUUCUCAGGAGUUCCUGCAAGGCUGGCUUCAAGGAGCCCCUUCACCUCACCCUCCCAGACCACAGAGAGCAGCAAGAAUCCUUCCAGGCAGACUAGGUUGGAUUGGAUUCAGGAGCCUAAUUACCACCAGAAAAUUAAAGAAAGACCUACAGUUCUCAAAAUCUGGAUAUCAUCUGAGUGCUAUAAAGUGCUGGCCGAGGAUCAUCAUUCUUAAUAAGCUCCCAGUGAUGCUGGUGCUGCCGGAUUGUAAGCCACACUUUGAGGCAAAGCCUUGGAUUGCUGAGUGUUCUGGCAAUGUCUUUUUAUUAUACCUGAAACCACCUGCAUUUGCAAUAUUGUGGGUAGAAUUUAUUCUGCUAGGCCUGGUAAGGCCCUGCUAAGUGCUUUUUUUUCUGUCUCUCUCUCAUUGAACACCUUCAAUGUCCCACGUAUUGUGUGGAGCAUAUUACACAUGUCAUCCCAUUGAAUUCCCUCUUUUUCUCAUUCAAACUUCCAAACAGGUGCGUGGCCUCUUCACUCAGUUCCUAGUAACCUUUGCUCAAAAUGUCACCUUUCCCAUGUGGACUUACCCA